UCAAAACGACUCUCGGCAACGGAUAUCUCGGCUCUCGCAUCGAUGAAGAACGUAGCGAAAUGCGAUACUUGGUGUGAAUUGCAGAAUCCCGUGAACCAUCGAGUCUUUGAACGCAAGUUGCGCCCGAAGCCAUCAGGCCGAGGGCACGCCUGCCUGGGCGU
rnacentral:rRNA from 1 species